rnacentral:lncRNA from 1 species
GAAAAAUAGUCUUUUGUAGCUGAGAAUUUCCUCUAUCAGAUAGUGGUGGUGUGUUCUUUGUGGCUGCUGUAGUUUCCAUGGAAAUAAAUAAGAGACAUUACUUUUGGAACAACCCGUGUGUGUGUGUACACGCAUACAUACAUACAUACAUACAUAUACACCUCUCUUCUGGUAGCACAGCAAUGUAAAAAAAAAUGUUUUGUGGGGGACUUCAUAGCUGCAUAUGUAACAGCUGCCUUCCUUUCUCUCAGAAAAGAUAUAAAGGAUUGUUUUUCCUUUUACAGUGAUCCCUUAAGUCAUGGCAACCUUCUCCAAUUGCCAUUAAUUCAACACCCUGACAACUUAAAGACAACAGCAGCACAUGAGGUCUAAAAGGAAUUGUGUCUAAUUUUCACCGCUAAUGCAUUGUAUCUGCAGAAUUGAUAUUAAAGGCCUCCCUCCACAUUCACAUAUAAGAAAUGGAUUGACUUGCUACAAAAAUUUUUAUACACAACAUGGGAAAGCAUUUACAACCUCAACCUUGUCUCAGAACUAAAAGAGCAGAUGAGAAUGGAUGAAAUACAACCUUUACUAAUCUGCCUACUCCUAAACAGUUAUUAGAUCUUCAGCAUAGCUAAUUGCCUCAAGAUCUAAUAAGUUAGUGAUGAUGUACGUUGAGCACCAGUGACCCCUUGCCAAAAGAAAUAUUAUGUCGCACCAAAGUUUAAGGAGAUAUGGUCUCAUGCAUAAUAUUCCUACGGAUGAUACACUAAGGGCCUUGCCUACUACAAUCAAAGCUACUGGACUCUGUGGUACAUCACACAUCACAGUCAGACUACUUCUCUCUGGCUAGUUAUGAUUAUCCUUUGCAGAUCUGAAUCUGCCGCUUACAUGGACUGUGUUCACAAAUGAGUUUUGUGACUAUCUAAGAGUACAGAUGAAGGUUCAGGCUUGAACUGAGGACUCAACCUGAAUAUGAUACAUUUAAUAAAGCUGAAUUUCCUGAGGAAGA